rnacentral:sRNA from 1 species
CUAAUUCCGCGUGAGGGAUUGCAGUGGAUAUCUCGCUGGCUAGCCAGCGGAAUAGUAGCGUAAAGCCCGACCCCAA